rnacentral:rRNA from 1 species
UGGGAAUUUGGACAAUGGGCGAAAGCCUGAUCCAGCAAUGCCGCGUGUGUGAAGAAGGCCUUCGGGUUGUAAAGCACUUUUGUCCGGAAAGAAAUCCUUGGCUCUAAUACAGUCGGGGGAUGACGGUACCGGAAGAAUAAGCACCGGCUAACUACGUGCCAGCAGCCGCGGUAAUACGUAGGGUGCAAGCGUUAAUCGGAAUUACUGGGCGUAAAGCGUGCGCAGGCGGUUUGCUAAGGCCGAUGUGAAAUCCCCGGGCUCAACCUGGGAACUGCAUUGGUGACUGGCAGGCUAGAGUAUGGCAGAGGGGGGUAGAAUUCCACGUGUAGCAGUGAAAUGCGUAGAGAUGUGGAGGAAUACCGAUGGCGAAGGCAGCCCCCUGGGCCAAUACUGACGCUCAUGCACGAAAGCGUGGGGAGCAAACAGGAUUAGAUACCCUGGUAGUCCACGCCCUAAACGAUGUCAACUAGUUGUUGGGGAUUCAUUCCUUAGUAACGUAGCUAACGCGUGAAGUUGACCGCCUGGGGAGUACGGUCGCAAGAUUAAAACUUAAAUGAAUUGACGGGGUCAUAGCUGUUUCCU